rnacentral:tRNA from 1 species
GCCUGGGUGGCUCAGUCGGUUAAGCAUCUGAUUUUGGUUCAGGUCAUGAUCUCGCAUUCGGUGGGUUUGAGCCCCAUGUCAGGCU